UCUGGUAAUGAUGGCAGAGAGGUCACACCCGUUCCCAUACCGAACACGGAAGUUAAGCUCUCUAGCGCUGAUGGUAGUUGGGACCUUGUCCCUGUGAGAGUAGGACGUUGCCAGGC
rnacentral:rRNA from 1 species